CGGGAAAAGCUCAAAUUUAAAAUCUGGCAGUCUUUGAUUGUCCGAGUUGUAGUCUGGAGAAGCGUUUUCCGCGCUGGACCGUGUACAAGUCUCUUGGAACAGAGCGUCAUAGAGGGUGAGAAUCCCGUCUUUGACACGGACUACCAGUGCUUUGUGAUGCGCUCUCAAA
rnacentral:rRNA from 1 species